GACGAACGCUGGCGGCGUGCCUAAUACAUGCAAGUAGAACGCAGUUUCGAACGGGUGAGUAACGCGUAGGUAACUGCCUCAUAGCGGGGGAUAACUAUUGGAAACGAUAGCUAAUACCGCAUACUGUGAGAUGGACCUUCGUUUUAUUAGCUUGUUGGUGAGGUAAAGGCUCACCAAGCCGACUAUACAUAUCCGACCUGAGAGGGUGAGCGGCCAAACUGGGACUGAGAAACGGCCAAGAAUCCUACGGGAGGCAGCAGUAGGGAAUCUUCGGCAAUGGACGGAAGGCUGAACGAGCAACGCCGCGUGAGUGAAGAAGGUUGUCGGAGAGUAAAGCUCUGUUGUUAGAGAAGCGGUAACUAAAGAGAAAGGGACGGCUAACUACGUGCCAGCAGCCGCGGUAAGUG
rnacentral:rRNA from 1 species